rnacentral:rRNA from 1 species
AUUGAACGCUGGCGGCGGGCCUAACACAUGCAAGUCGAACGAGUGGCGGACGGGUGAAUGGUUUCUGGGCAACUGCCUAAUUUACGAGUAUAACUGCUUGAAACCGUAGCUAAUACCGCAUACCAUCGUAUGUGCCCAGAUGGAAUUAGCUAGUAGGUGGGGUAACGGCUCACCUCGGCGACGCUCCCUAGCUGGUCUGAGAGGAUGACCAGCCACACUGGAACUGAGACACGGGCCAGACUCCUACGGGAGGCAGCAGUGGGGAAUAUGGGACAAUGGGCGAAAGCCUGAUGGAGCAAUGCCGCGUGUAUGAAGAAGGCCUUCGGGUUGUAAAGUACUUUCAUCGGGGAGGCGUUACUCGAAGAAGAAGCACCGGCUAACUCCGUGCCAGCAGCCGCGGUAAUAC